rnacentral:rRNA from 1 species
CUGGCGGCGUGCCUAACACAUGCAAGUCGAACGAGAAAGUGGAGCAAUCCAUGAGUAAAGUGGCGACCGGGUGAGUAACACGUGACUAACCUACCCUCGAGUGGGGAAUAACUCCGGGAAACCGGGGCUAAUACCGCAUAACAUCGCAAGAUCAAAGCAGCAAUGCGCUUGAGGAGGGGGUCGCGGCUGAUUAGCUAGUUGGCGGGGUAACGGCCCACCAAGGCGAAGAUCGGUAUCCGGCCUGAGAGGGCGCACGGACACACUGGAACUGAAACACGGUCCAGACUCCUACGGGAGGCAGUAGUGGGGAAUUUUGCGCAAUGGGGGAAACCCUGACGCAGCAACGCCGCGUGAGGAUGAAGCCCUUUGGGGCGUAAACUCCUUUCGACUCGGACGAUAAUGACGGUACGAGUGGAAGAAGCACCGGCUAACUCUGUGCCAGCAGCCGCGGUAAUACAGAGGGUGCGAGCGUUGUUCGGAAUUAUUGGGCGUAAAGGGCGCGUANGCGGUGCGGUAAGUCACCUGUGAAAUCUCCUG